GCAGGGGGAGUUCCCAGGGCCUGUGGUUCAGAAAGUUCAAGAGUGGCUGGGUGGCACAGUGCCAGACUGUGGGCUGGCCUCAUGAACAGGGACCUCUGGUUUCUCUCUGUGAGGCCAGCUUGGGAAUCCAGGUGGGGUGGGGUCAGGGCUCCCUGUGGGAUCCCAGUGGAGCCAGGCUGUAAAGUUAGCUUGUGUGGGGGAGAGAAACUGACAGGGAGGGUGCUCUAAAAUGUGGACUCCCUGGGAGAGUGAAGGCAGCCCUGGAUCCCCAGAAGCCACAGGGCCUACAAAGAUGCUGGCUGUCCCGGAGAUGGGCCUGCAGGGGCUGUACAGCGGUAAGGCCCACCCCCUCGCCUCUGCCCGGGGCCCACUGCCCC
rnacentral:lncRNA from 1 species